UUAAAUUGAAGAGUUUGAUCAUGGCUCAGAUUGAACGCUGGCGGCAGGCCUAACACAUGCAAGUCGAGCGGAAACGACACUAACAAUCCUUCGGGUGCGUUAAUGGGCGUCGAGCGGCGGACGGGUGAGUAAUGCCUAGGAAAUUGCCUUGAUGU
rnacentral:rRNA from 1 species